rnacentral:lncRNA from 1 species
UCAAGCAUCUCUAUCAUUUCUACGUUCUCUCUCUUCACCGAAUUUCACUACAUGACGCAAAUCCGACAACUCCCAUUUUUUAUAAAUAAGGGCCGUUCCUCCCAUUUUCUCAUCACUUCCAUUAUUCUACCUUCCAAGAGUUAGAGAUAGAGAGAGAGAAAGUGAGUGAGUGAUCUAGAGAGAGAAGGAAAUGAGGAGAAGAAGAAUGUGUAGAA